rnacentral:rRNA from 1 species
AAAAAAGGUAAGCUACUAAGAGCGAAUGGUGGAUGCCUUGACUGGUAAAGGCGAUGAAGGACGUACUAGACUGCGAUAAGCUACGGGGAGCUGUCAAGAAGCUUUGAUCCGUAGAUUUCCGAAUGGGGCAACCCAAUGUAUAGAGAUAUACAUUACCUAUAUAGGAGCGAACGAGGGGAAUUGAAACAUCUUAGUACCCUCAGGAAAAGAAAUCAAUAGAGAUUGCGUCAGUAGCGGCGAGCGAAAGCGCAAGAGGGCAAACCCAGUGCUUGCACUGGGGGUUGUAGGACUGCAAUGUGCAAGAGGUAAGUUUAGCAGAACAUUCUGGAAAGUAUAACCAUAGAGGGUGAUAGUCCCGUAUGCGAAAAACAAACCUUAGCUAGCAGUAUCCUGAGUAGGGCGGGACACGAGGAAUCCUGUCUGAAUCCGGGUCGACCACGAUCCAACCCUAAAUACUAAUACCAGAUCGAUAGUGCACAAGUACCGUGAGGGAAAGGUGAAAAGAACUGAGGUGAUCAGAGUGAAAUAGAACCUGAAACCAUUUGCUUACAAUCAUUCAGAGCCCUAUGUAGCAAUACAGGGUGAUGGACUGCCUUUUGCAUAAUGAGCCUGCGAGUUGUGGUGUCUGGCAAGGUUAAGCAAACGCGAAGCCGUAGCGAAAGCGAGUCUGAAUAGGGCGCUUAGUCAGAUGCUGCAGACCCGAAACGAAGUGAUCUAUCCAUGAGCAAGUUGAAGCUAGUGUAAGAACUAGUGGAGGACUGAACCCAUAGGCGUUGAAAAGCCCCGGGAUGACUUGUGGAUAGGGGUGAAAGGCCAAUCAAACUUCGUGAUAGCUGGUUCUCUCCGAAAUAUAUUUAGGUAUAGCGUUGUGUCGUAAUAUAAGGGGGUAGAGCACUGAAUGGGCUAGGGCAUACACCAAUGUACCAAACCCUAUCAAACUCCGAAUACCUUAUAUGUAAUCACAGCAGUCAGGCGGCGAGUGAUAAAAUCCGUCGUCAAGAGGGAAACAACCCAGACUACCAGCUAAGGUCCCUAAAUCUUACUUAAGUGGAAAACGAUGUGAAAAGCAGCCAUCCUUUAAAGAAAGCGUAAUAGCUCACUGGUCUAGUGAUUUUGCGCGGAAAAUAUAACGGGGCUAAAGUAAGUACCGAAGCUGUAGACUUGCACACAACUUAGAUUAUUUAAGUUUAGAAUAUGAGAAACUAAGUUAUAUGUUUAGUUAUAUUUUUACUGAUUUUUAUAGAGUAAAGAUAGAAAUAAAACUUAGUAAAAUCAGUAAAAAUAUUCUUAAAGUGGUAGGAGAGCGUUCUAUUUGCGUCGAAGGUAUACCGGUAAGGAGUGCUGGAGCGAAUAGAAGUGAGCAUGCAGGCAUGAGUAGCGAUAAUUAAUGUGAGAAUCAUUAACGCCGUAAACCCAAGGUUUCCUACGCGAUGCUCGUCAUCGUAGGGUUAGUCGGGUCCUAAGUCGAGUCCGAAAGGGGUAGACGAUGGCAAAUUGGUUAAUAUUCCAAUACCAACAUUAGUGUGCGAUGGAAGGACGCUUAGGGCUAAGGGGGCUAGCGGAUGGAAGUGCUAGUCUAAGGUCGUAGGAGGUUGUACAGGCAAAUCCGUAUAACAAUACUUCGAGAACUGAAAGGCUUUUUGAAGUCUUCGGAUGGAUAGAAGAACCCCUGAUGCCGUCGAGCCAAGAAAAGUUUCUAAGUUUAGCUAAUGUUGCCCGUACCGUAAACCGACACAGGUGGGUGGGAUGAGUAUUCUAAGGCGCGUGGAAGAACUCUCUUUAAGGAACUCUGCAAAAUAGCACCGUAUCUUCGGUAUAAGGUGUGGUUAGCUUUGUAUUAGGAUUUACUCCGAAAGCAAGGAAACUUACAACAAAGAGUCCCUCCCGACUGUUUACCAAAAACACAGCACUCUGCUAACUCGUAAGAGGAUGUAUAGGGUGUGACGCCUGCCCGGUGCUCGAAGGUUAAUUGAUGGGGUUAGCAUUAGCGAAGCUCUUGAUCGAAGCCCGAGUAAACGGCGGCCGUAACUAUAACGGUCCUAAGGUAGCGAAAUUCCUUGUCGGUUAAAUACCGACCUGCAUGAAUGGCGUAACGAGAUGGGAGCUGUCUCAAAGAGGGAUCCAGUGAAAUUGUAGUGGAGGUGAAAAUUCCUCCUACCCGCGGCAAGACGGAAAGACCCCGUGGACCUUUACUACAGCUUGACACUGCUACUUGGAUAAGAAUGUGCAGGAUAGGUGGGAGGCUUUGAGUAUAUGACGCCAGUUGUAUAUGAGCCAUUGUUGAGAUACCACUCUUUCUUAUUUGGGUAGCUAACCAGCUUGAGUUAUCCUCAAGUGGGACAAUGUCUGGUGGGUAGUUUGACUGGGGCGGUCGCCUCCCAAAUAAUAACGGAGGCUUACAAAGGUUGGCUCAGAACGGUUGGAAAUCGUUCGUAGAGUAUAAAGGUAUAAGCCAGCUUAACUGCAAGACAUACAAGUCAAGCAGAGACGAAAGUCGGUCUUAGUGAUCCGGUGGUUCUGUGUGGAAGGGCCAUCGCUCAAAGGAUAAAAGGUACCCCGGGGAUAACAGGCUGAUCUCCCCCAAGAGCUCACAUCGACGGGGAGGUUUGGCACCUCGAUGUCGGCUCAUCGCAUCCUGGGGCUGGAGCAGGUCCCAAGGGUAUGGCUGUUCGCCAUUUAAAGCGGUACGCGAGCUGGGUUCAGAACGUCGUGAGACAGUUCGGUCCCUAUCUGCCGUGGGCGUAAGAAGAUUGAAGAGAUUUGACCCUAGUACGAGAGGACCGGGUUGAACAAACCACUGGUGUAGCUGUUGUUCUGCCAAGAGCAUCGCAGCGUAGCUAAGUUUGGAAAGGAUAAACGCUGAAAGCAUCUAAGCGUGAAGCCAACUCUAAGAUGAAUCUUCUCUAAGCUCUCUAGAAGACUACUAGUUUGAUAGGCUGGGUGUGUAAUGGAUGAAAGUCCUUUAGCUGACCAGUACUAAUAGAGCGUUUGGCUUAUCUUUAAUAAAGCAU